rnacentral:rRNA from 1 species
GGGCAUCAGUAUUCAAUUGUCAGAGGUGAAAUUCUUGGAUUUAUUGAAGACUAACUACUGCGAAAGCAUUUGCCAAGGAUGUUUUCAUUUAUCAGGAACGAAAGUUAGGGGAUCGAAGACGAUCAGAUACCGUCGUAGUCUUAACCAUAAACUAUGCCGACUAGGGAUCGGACGAUGUUAUUUUUUGACUCGUUCGGCACCUUACGAGAAAUCAAAGUGCUUGGGCUCCAGGGGGAGUAUGGUCGCAAGGCUGAAACUUAAAGAAAUUGACGGAAGGGCACCACCAGGGGUGGAGCCUGCGGCUUAAUUUGACUCAACACGGGGAAACUCACCAGGUCCAGACACAAUAAGGAUUGACAGAAUUGAGAGAAGACA